UACAGAGGGGGCAAGCGUUGUUCGGAAUUACUGGGCGUAAAGGGCGCGUAGGCGGCUUGACAAGUCCCGGGUGAAAUCCCUCGGCUCAACCGAGGAACUGCCUUGGAAACUGUCUGGCUUGAGGCCGGGAGAGGGUAGUGGAAUUCCCAGUGUAGCGGUGAAAUGCGUAGAUACUGGGAGGAACACCGGUGGCGAAGGUGGCUACCUGGACCGGUUCUGACGCUGAGGCGCGAAAGCGUGGGUAGCAAACAGG
rnacentral:rRNA from 1 species